AACGAACGCUGGCGGCAUGCCUAACACAUGCAAGUCGAACGAGACCUUCGGGUCUAGUGGCGCACGGGUGCGUAACGCGUGGGAAUCUGCCCUUGGGUUCGGAAUAACAGCUGGAAACGACUGCUAAUACCGGAUGAUGACGUAAGUCCAAAGAUUUAUCGCCCAGGGAUGAGCCCGCGUAGGAUUAGCUAGUUGGUGGGGUAAAGGCCUACCAAGGCGACGAUCCUUAGCUGGUCUGAGAGGAUGAUCAGUCACACUGGGACUGAGACACGGCCCAGACUCCUACGGGAGGCAGCAGGGGGGAAUAUGGGACAGUGGGCGAAAGCCUGAGCCAGCAAUGCCGCGGGAGUGAUGAAGGCCUUAGGGUUGUAAAGCUCUUUUACCCGGGAUGAUAAUGACAGUACCGGGAGAAUAGGCCCCGGCUAACUCCGU
rnacentral:rRNA from 1 species